AGAUCAAGUCCUUUGCAGAGCUUCCGGUCCUAUUGGAUGAACAGUUUCGCGAGGACAACAAAUGCGACCAUUGUGGAAGUCUGCAUAAUUUUGAUCUCUUUCUUUCAAACACACCACACUUCUUUACAAUAGUUUUGAACUGGCUGGGUGGCAGUGAAAGCCAGGACGCACUAUCUGAAGUUCUGGCUGGCAUCACGUCUCCCCUUGACACUGAGUUCUUUUGCAGGAGUGCUCAUCCUGCAGCUAUGUAUGCUGUCACCUCCAUGGUACGUGCACAGCAAACUAUUCUAUUUUCCUAAAUUGAAUUGUCAAUGGAGCUGAACAAAUACUUUUAUCAUUUAAUUCUCAUGUUAAGGUAAUCCUGAAAUGAUAAAAAGCAAUGAGCUAUUUGUAUUGGUUGACGUUCAUGACCUUUUAUAAGUUGUGUUGCUAAUUGUUUACUGUUCCUUGACUGCUACCGGAGGCCAAGUUGGUAUUGUUCUAAGACUGAAGCAAGGUUCUUAUUUUGUGGAACAAAACGGAUCAUGGUUAAAUGGCGUUGUCACCUGGUUCAAAUUGCCUAGGUUACAUUGACAAGGCAUUUUGCUGCUAUUUAUAAAGAAGUGGAUAUAAGGUUUAAACUAUGAUACAUCAUAUCUGAGUUGGUUCGUACUUGGAGUUGGAGAGAUAUUUGCAAGUUUUUGAAUGGUCCUAUCUGUGGCAUAUUUUUUCCUGCCUACUUCACUUAUAUCAAGAUAUUUAGAAGACUCGGCAGAAGAAUUUCAGCAAGAAUCAAUAGCCUGUGUGAUCCUUAUGUCGCUGAGUUCCUUUUAUAAACGUUCCAUUGAUUGAACGGUUGAAGAAGUAUCAUAUGUAGGUAAACUGGUUAGACCUUUUAAAGUCUGCUGCUCUCACAAGUAUGUUUUGCAUUAUUUUCCUUCCCUUUAAAGCGAAUAGGAAAUGGCCUCAUCAAAUCACAUGGAGUGGUUGCAGAACAUCUGCUGGAGUAACCUUUUAUAUGCACACUUCCUAUCUCUCUGUCUCUGUUUACUCUUCUGUUGCUUUGAGUAUUAGUGCAGGCCUAUUGCAAGGUUGGUUUAAUGCUCUGGUUACUUAAUUUGCCUGCUUACAUAUGCAAGCAUAGUCACUCCUUGCAAACGCAGUGCAAUUUAGCAUCCAUCUUAUGCUAGCUUGCAAUCCAAACUCUUGCAGAUCUGCUAUGCUGAUGACCGCUACGUCUGCUUUGCUCGCGACGAGGACAAGUGGGUCAUAUAUGGCUUCGAGACUGUCGAGAGAGAAGAUAGUUGGGAGCAUUUGCUAGAACGUUUCAAGGACUGCAAGCUCCAGCCUGAAGUUCUAUUUUUCGAGGUCAUCAAGUAGACUAUUGUAUAGCAAACCUCUCUGACGAUCAGAGCCAACUCUGGACCCAGUUUUUUUGUUUCAUUGCCACCAUUUUGAUGCUGUUUGGCUUGGUCACUCUGACAUCGAAUACAGAUAAACUCUUCAGAGAUGGU